CCCAAGAGACAGAGAGAGAGAAAAUGGUGAGCCCAGGAAUUUAGAUUCAAGCCUACAUUCAUUCAAACCAACACAGUUCACCUAGGAGAAUGCAUUGCAACCAUUAUUUCAUGUCUUUUAUAUUUGAAAAAAUUUUAUGCAACUUUCACAGUUCCCACAUGGCAGGUUAAACUCUGGCAUAACCCUAGUAUGUUUCUAUAAAGUAUAUAUAUAGAACAAAAAGCAUCUCUAAUGACUGAAUUCACAGAAUUAUAAAAUAUAAGGCAAAGGGAAAGUCAUCAGCAUCUAAG
rnacentral:lncRNA from 1 species